AUUGAACGCUGGCGGCAGGCCUAACACAUGCAAGUCGAACGAGUGGCGGACGGGUGAGUAAUGUCUGGGAAACUGCCUGAUGGAGGGGGAUACCUACUGGAAACGGUAGCUAAUACCGCAUACCAUCGGAUGUGCCCAGAUGGGAUUAGCUUGUUGGUGGGGUAACGGCGCACCAAGGCGACGAUCCCUAGCUGGUCUGAGAGGAUGACCGGCCACACGGGAACGGAGACACGGUCCAGACUCCUACGGGGGGCAGCAGUGGGGAAUAUUGGACAAUGGGCGCAAGCCUGAUGCAGCCAUGCCGCGGGUGUGAAGAAGGCCUUCGGGUUGUAAAGGACUUUCAGCGGGGAGGCGUUACCCGCAGAAGAAGCACCGGCUAACUCCGUGCCAGCAGCCGCGGUAAUAC
rnacentral:rRNA from 1 species